rnacentral:rRNA from 1 species
GAUGAACGCUAGCGGGAGGCCUAACACAUGCAAGCCGAGCGGUAGAGUCUCUUCGGAGACUUGAGAGCGGCGCACGGGUGCGGAACACGUGUGCAACCUGCCUUUAUCUGGGGGAUAGCCUUUCGAAAGGAAGAUUAAUACCCCAUAAUAUACUGGAUGGCAUCAUCUGGUAUUGAAAACUCCGGUGGAUAGAGAUGGGCACGCGCAAGAUUAGAUAGUUGGUGAGGUAACGGCUCACCAAGUCUACGAUCUUUAGGGGGCCUGAGAGGGUGAUCCCCCACACUGGUAUUGAGACACAGACCAGACUCCUACGGGAGGCAGCAGUGAGGAAUAUUGGACAAUGGGUGAGAGCCUGAUCCAGCCAUCCCGCGUGAAGGACGACGGCCCUAUGGGUUGUAAACUUCUUUUGUAUAGGGAUAAACCUAGAUACGUGUAUCUAGCUGAAGGUACUAUACGAAUAAGCACCGGCUAACUCCGUGCCAGCAGCCGCGGUAAUACGGAGGGUGCAAGCGUUAUCCGGAUUUAUUGGGUUUAAAGGGUCCGUAGGCUGAUUUGUAAGUCAGUGGUGAAAUCUCACAGCUUAACUGUGAAACUGCCAUUGAUACUGCAAGUCUUGAGUGUUGUUGAAGUAGCUGGAAUAAGUAGUGUAGCGGUGAAAUGCAUAGAUAUUACUUAGAACACCAAUUGCGAAGGCAGGUUACUAAGCAACAACUGACGCUGAUGGACGAAAGCGUGGGGAGCGAACAGGAUUAGAUACCCUGGUAGUCCACGCCGUAAACGAUGCUAACUCGUUUUUGGGUUUUCGGAUUCAGAGACUAAGCGAAAGUGAUAAGUUAGCCACCUGGGGAGUACGAACGCAAGUUUGAAACUCAAAGGAAUUGACGGGGGCCCGCACAAGCGGUGGAUUAUGUGGUUUAAUUCGAUGAUACGCGAGGAACCUUACCAAGGCUUAAAUGGGAAAUGACAGGUUUAGAAAUAGACUUUUCUUCGGACAUUUUUCAAGGUGCUGCAUGGUUGUCGUCAGCUCGUGCCGUGAGGUGUUAGGUUAAGUCCUGCAACGAGCGCAACCCCUGUCACUAGUUGCCAUCAUUAAGUUGGGGACUCUAGUGAGACUGCCUACGCAAGUAGAGAGGAAGGUGGGGAUGACGUCAAAUCAUCACGGCCCUUACGCCUUGGGCCACACACGUAAUACAAUGGCCGGUACAGAGGGCAGCUACACAGUGAUGUGAUGCAAAUCUCGAAAGCCGGUCUCAGUUCGGAUUGGAGUCUGCAACUCGACUCUAUGAAGCUGGAAUCGCUAGUAAUCGCGCAUCAGCCAUGGCGCGGUGAAUACGUUCCCGGGCCU